UACAAGUACUGUUUGCACCUGUGUC
rnacentral:piRNA from 1 species